GACGUUAGCGGCGGACGGGUGAGUAACACGUGGAUAACCUACCUAUAAGACUGGGAUAACUUCGGGAAACCGGAGCUAAUACCGGAUAAUAUAUUGAACCGCAUGGUUCAAUAGUGAAAGACGGUUUUGCUGUCACUUAUAGAUGGAUCCGCGCCGCAUUAGCUAGUUGGUAAGGUAACGGCUUACCAAGGCAACGAUGCGUAGCCGACCUGAGAGGGUGAUCGGCCACACUGGAACUGAGACACGGUCCAGACUCCUACGGGAGGCAGCAGUAGGGAAUCUUCCGCAAUGGGCGAAAGCCUGACGGAGCAACGCCGCGUGAGUGAUGAAGGUCUUCGGAUCGUAAAACUCUGUUAUUAGGGAAGAACAAAUGUGUAAGUAACUAUGCACGUCUGACGGUAC
rnacentral:rRNA from 1 species